UUUAAUUAAAAUUUUCAAAAAAUAAAUAUUAAAAAACAAAAAUACUUAUUUAAAAAGGAAACAUGGAGAGUACUUUAAAAAUGAUGAUAGUAAUAAUGUUUUAAAAAUGGAGCAGAAUUUAUUGUUCCUCGCAUAAUUGCUUAUUGUGUUGUGACGUGGCUUGCAGAAAUGGAGUAAAAUUGGAGAUCAGAUUUUUUGUCCUCAUUUUCCAUGUUUUCUUGUGUCUCUCACUUAAAUUUUGGCACCUGGACUAUUACUCAAUACCGAUUAAUUCUAAAAUUAAAUAAGAGGUCAGAUGUCAAAAUUUAAAUAAAAAAACAUGAAAAAUGAAGACAGAAGAUCUAGUCUUGUAGAAUUGAAGAGCAAAGAGAAAAAGAUAAGAAAAGAAUCACACAAAAACAUGAGAGAGCAUUAAUGGACAUCACAUCCCUACGUGAAAAUGUUUUCAUAUUUGUUGGGUCAUGAUAUUUUUUCUAUUGGACCGGACGGAUUGGGCCUAUUCAUUUAAUUAACCUAUUGAAUCUUUGUUAUUGAGUUUUAUAGUCAUUGGGCUUAAUAUUUAUGUUACACUUAUCAUAUCCUCAUAAUGAUGGGCUGGGUCUAAGGAUUGAUCCAUUAAAGCUUUUUAUAUCUAAGCCUUUGACUUGUAAUGAUGAAAAAAGAGAGCAGUUGACCAAAAGUCUGCAGAUCAUUAAUGUGGAUGGGAUUUUAUCCAGUCAGCGACAGGUACAGUAGGAAAAAGGUGACAACCUGCAUGCAUCCGGCUGAGACCAUAGAGGAGUGGGGAGCUGUGUCAGAUUAAGGUUGGUGGCACAAAAAACCGAGCAUGAGAGUAUAACCUAGCAAGGGAGUCUUCUAACAAAAGGUACACAUACAUUUUUAUCUCUCUCUAGAUGCUAGACAUUUUCAUCCUCCAUUGUUAACCCUUGUGACCGCCUGUACUUACUCUCACGCCGAAGCUAUCCCCCGACGGUCCAGCCAUCAAGCUUUGUGUGUUGAUCGUGUUUACUGUGCAGGAUCGGGACGUCUUACGUGAUUGGAACGUAGCAGAAGAUCUUGGCGUUAACAUUGGCGCUAGAAGGAGGGCAGUUCUAGUGUUCAAGAGUUGG
rnacentral:lncRNA from 1 species